rnacentral:rRNA from 1 species
CGGCGGACGGGUGAGUAACACGUGGAUAACCUACCUAUAAGACUGGGAUAACUUCGGGAAACCGGAGCUAAUACCGGAUAAUAUAUUGAACCGCAUGGUUCAAUAGUGAAAGACGGUUUUGCUGUCACUUAUAGAUGGAUCCGCGCCGCAUUAGCUAAUUGGUAAGGUAACGGCUUACCAAGGCAACGAUGCGUAGCCGACCUGAGAGGGUGAUCGGCCACACGGGAACUGAGACACGGUCCAG